rnacentral:rRNA from 1 species
GACGAACGCUGGCGGCGUGCUUAACACAUGCAAGUCGAACGAUGAAGCUGGAGCUUGCUCCGGUGGAUUAGUGGCGAACGGGUGAGUAACACGUGAGCAAUCUGCCCUUGACUCUGGGAUAACUGCGGGAAACUGUAGCUAAUACCGGAUACGAGGCUCGAAGGCAUCUUCGGGUCUGGAAAGAAUUUCGGUCAAGGAUGAGCUCGCGGCCUAUCAGCUUGUUGGUGAGGUAAUGGCUCACCAAGGCGACGACGGGUGGCCGGCCUGGGAGGGUGACCGGCCUCACUGGGGCUGAGACACGGCCCAGACUCCUACGGGAGGCAGCGGUGGGGAAUAUUGGACAAUGGGCGAGAGCCUGAUGCAGCAACGGCGCAUGAGGGAUGAAGGCCUUCGGGUUGUAAACCGUUUUUAGCAGGGAAGAAGCGAAAGUGACGGUACCUGCAGAAAAAGCACCGGCUAACUACGUGCCAGCCGCCGCCGUAA